rnacentral:rRNA from 1 species
UACGUAGGGCGCAAGCGUUGUCCGGAAUUAUUGGGCGUAAAGAGCUCGUAGGCGGCUUGUCACGUCGGGUGUGAAAGCCCGGGGCUUAACCCCGGGUCUGCAUUCGAUACGGGCUAGCUAGAGUGUGGUAGGGGAGAUCGGAAUUCCUGGUGUAGCGGUGAAAUGCGCAGAUAUCAAGUGGAACACCAGUGGCGAAUGCGAGUCUCUGGACAUUUCCUGACGCUGAGGCACGAAAGCCAGGGGAGCGAACGGG